rnacentral:lncRNA from 1 species
CCGUGUAGGAAAAUGAUUUUGUCCCGCGCAGACUCCCUCAGCACUUUCUGCAGUCUGAAGCCGGAGAACGAAAUUUUCAUCGUGGUCAGUUUUUUACUUUGUAGACUCAGUACUUCUCUGCUGACAAGAAAGUUCAACAACAAACUUACUGAGAACAGAUGAAUGAAACCUUGCCUGUCCUAUAAGGAAUACAGUCAUCUGCCAGAAGAAAAAUGGUGAUUCUUCCCAGUCCAAAGGUGAAGAUGGUGACUGUGAAAGUAUCAGCUUUAGCCAGACCACUGAUGAAGCUCCCAGAUGUCACAGCAUCCAUGGGCUUGUGAUCUCAGGUGAAGGCGUUGAACCCUGAGCCCUGGAUUCCCAUCUCUUCACUUGCUCCCUCCACCACCCCACCCCCAUAUUCAGAAUGGCCUCUAGGCUUCUAGGUUUGUGUCUUUAAUGGCACCUAGGCAAUAAAUAAAAAAUACAGUGCAGUGCUGACUGCAUCUUCCCUACAGCUCUUUGAAGUGAAUCGAUGUCUCUGGGAAGAGGAACAGAGUAGUGUGAGUGUGAAGGACUGGAUUCUUGUUGCUUUCUCCUGACGCCCAUUCCAGGGUUUCCCCAGGCAACUAGGAAGACCAUCCAUGGUGAGGCCUGCAAUCUAGGCUUCUUGCUGAUCAGUCAGGUGAGUCACUUCUUUAGGAGGGAUACCAGUGUACGCCAGUGCCCAGUUCCAGGGGAAGACAGAAGUGGGCACCAGGCUUCCUGUCCAGUUAGGCAGGAGAUGAGUCCUGCUGGCCAUCAUUGAUCAGUACCACCUCCUACCACUUCCAAUUUCUGGCUUCCUCAUGGCCUUCUUGGGGAGUCCCCAGCUUCCUCAUGGCUUUCCUAGGGGGAAUCCCCAGCUUCACGGCCUUCCUGGGGGAGUCCCCAAGCUCUCCAUGGUCUUCUUAGGGAGCCCACAGUAAUGGAAGCCUGAUGGGUGCUCUGAUCCCAGGGUCACGAGCAAAGCGCUGCGACUCACUCCCUAUACCUCUUGUCACAUUUGUGGGAAUCCGAGGCCCUGCAUGGGUUUUCUGUUUCUAGCUUUACUCCAAUUUCCGGGGUCCCAUGAUAUAACAAGUGUCAACUGAGUGUCUGCAGAUCUGAAAGAGACCAAUCACAGCGUUGUCACACCUCCCAAACCCAGCAUCUGUUUUCCCCAACAGGUCCUGCCUCUUCUAUCUUUUUAUCUAUUACCACACUUCCAAACCUACUGCAAUAGCAUGGCCCUCCCCAGAUACACUUAUAUGCACUUCUUUCCUAUUAUUUUGCAUCAUUUUGCCUUACUAAACCAAUGUCCCUCCUGGCACCUUCCCAGCUCUUGAUGGACAUCUCCAGCCUGAUCUUAGAGAAACCUAAUGCUAUUACUGUUACUACUACUAGCUAUUAACUUGAGGAGCUGAUUUGUGCUAGGCGCUGCCUGUUAUGAAUACAUGUGCUAGGCCAUGUUCUGAGCCCUUAGUGUAUAUACUGUUCUCAUUUCAUAGCAAUGGAAACCUGUUGGUCAGUGAGGAAACCAAGGCACAGAGCGGGUGAGUAACUUGACCAAGUUACUUUUUAUGGGUUAAUAAGUGCAGGAGCCAGGAUACAAACCCCGACAGCCUUUUCCAGAAGCUGCGCUUUGAACUACUAGGCUACAGGGCUGUCUCCUAAAAGUCAAAGUAGAUCAGAUACUGUAGCUGAAUCCCGUUCCCCUUCUCCCUCCUGUAGUAGCUUACAACGCAUGACAGCUUCUUUGACUUGACGAAAGCCACCAUCAGGGCCCCUGCCAUCGACGUAGUACAUGAAUCGGAGCUCAGGUGGGUAGGCAGCUCUGCUGAGGCCCGACAGCAGGGGGAUGGUGCAGCCCUCGGCCCCUGGAGCCUCGGUCAGGGCCUGCAGCAUCUGGUACUUGCACCAGGGGUCCUGAAGGAAGCCUGGCGUGAUGAGCAGCACCCGGCAGUGACUACUGCUCAGUGCCUGGCACAGCUCGGACACGAUAGCGCCGCCUGGGGUUGCAUCCCGGAGUUGCAGGAAGCAGCGCAGGCUGGCAGUGCUGCCUUCCAAGUAGGAGACCAGGUCCUGGGCGGCCACCAGGUCUUCCUCACUGUGGCACACGCAGACGUCAUAGUCUUUGCUCCAGCGACUACUGCCGCUGUCACUCGCGUGUGUGGGUGGCAGGCUGGGAGACGUGACUGAGCUGAGGCUUGGGGGUAGUGGGCUGUCCUGUGAGGUAGGCUGUGAAGCAUCGCUGGAGGUGCUUUCUGGGGAGUUGGGCCUCUUCUUGGGCUUCUUCAGCAGGGUCUGCCUGAACCAGUCUGUGGGGGAGAAACACUGCUCAGGCCUGUGUGUUACCAGGUGCCCUCUCACUGCCCACACAGGGAGGAGCCCCACCUCCCAGGGAGGAC